GUAGCCCAAGAGAUCGGGAUAAUACCUGGAAACAGAUGCUAAUACCGGAUAACAACAGAUGAUGCCUAUCAACUGUUUAAAAGAUGGUUCUGCUAUCACUCUUGGAUGGACCUGCGGUGCAUUAGCUAGUUGGUAGGGUAACGGCCUACCAAGGCGAUGAUGCAUAGCCGAGUUGAGAGACUGAUCGGCCACAUUGGGACUGAGACACGGCCCAAACUCCUACGGGAGGCAGCAGCG
rnacentral:rRNA from 1 species